CUGGCAAUUUUGUGCCAAGCGGGGCCAACAAUUUAUGAAGGGUUGGGGAGCCAACCUAGGGCGUGACCUUCGCGAGCGCAAGAAGACCCUGUUGUCCGCCAUCUAGGCCCUCGACCUGCGGCUGACACGGUUGGCCUCUCGCCCGAGGAAUGGCUCUCUAGGUACGACUUGGAGGACCAGCUCUCGGUCAUAUACACCGACGAGGAGGCCUACUGGAGCUUGCGCGGCACCCAGAAAUGGGUUCUUAAAGGUGACGCGAACACGACCUACUUCCAGGCCAUAGCGAAUGGUCGGCGUAGACGCAAUACCAUUCCCCUCCUCUGGGAUGGGGAUUCUCUGCUGCAGUCCCGGGACAUCAGGGCUCAUGUCGAUGGACUCUAUAGGACCCUUUUCUCUGCCCCCCUCGGAGGCUUAUCUUUGGCCCACAAUGGUUGGUCCGGCCGCCAGCUUGUCUCCCCUGAGGAGAACACGGCCCUUACGGCCCCCUUCUCCGAGGACGAGGUCUGGGAUGCCAUCCACGGCAUGAAUCCCACCUCGGCCCCGGGCCCGGAUGGCCUCCCGGUGAAAUUCUUCCAGUCUUUCUUGAAUGUGAUCAAACCGGAGAUCAUGGCCAUUUUCGAAGAGUUCUAUGUUGGGUCCAUGGACCUCGGGCGCCUCAAUUAUGGGAUCAUCUCGCUCAUCCCGAAGGUCCCGGGCGCCUCCAACAUCCGUCAGUUUCGUCAAAUCAUGUUCAUCAACCUGAUUUUUCAGAUUCUGGCAAAAGGGUACACCAAUAGGGUGACCCUCCUCGCGGACCAGAUUACCCACCCCAACCAAUCCGCCUUCAUUCAAGGGCGAUACAUCCUAGAAAGGGUGCUAGUCCAUCACGAAGUUCUCCAUGAGGUGCGCUCUAAACAGCUUAAGGCGGUCUUCUUGAAGAUUGAUUUCCAUAAGGCCUACGACACGGUUAGUUGGCCCUUCCUUCGGGAAGUAUUGCUCCGAAAGGGCUUCGAUGACCGUUGGAUCUCUAGGGUAAUGUAG
rnacentral:rRNA from 1 species